GUUCAGAGGUGGUAUACAGGAAAUUGACCUAUAAACUGACAGAUAAUACGGCUCCAUUUGUCUGUCAUUUCUGUAGGCCAAUAUUCUGCAUGUCUUUGCUACUUC
rnacentral:pre_miRNA from 13 species